rnacentral:rRNA from 1 species
UCCUGGCUCAGAACGAACGCUGGCGGCAGGUCUUAGGCAUGCAAGUCGAACGGAUGACAGAGAGCUUGCUCUCUGAAGUCAGUGGCGCACGAGUGAGUAACGCGUGGGAAACUGCCCUUCACUGGGGAAUAACGUUUGGAAACGAACGCUAAUACCGCAUACGCCCGCAAGGGGAAAGAUUUAUCGGUGAUGGAUGUGCCCGCGUUGGAUUAGCCAGUUGGUGGGGUAAUGGCCUACCAAAGCAAUGAUCCAUAGCUGGUCUGAGAGGACGAUCAGCCACGCUGGAACUGAGACACGGUCCAGACUCCUACGGGAGGCAGCAGCUAAGAAUAUUGGGCAAUGGAGGAAACUCUGACCCAGCCCAUGCCGCGUGAAUGAAGAAGGCCUUCGGGUUGUAAAGUUCUUUUAGUCAUGAAGAUGAUGACAGUAGUGACAGAAAAAGCACCGGCUAACUUCGUGCCAGCAGCGGC